CCUACGGGAGGCAGCAGUGAGGAAUAUUGGUCAAUGGACGAGAGUCUGAACCAGCCAAGUAGCGUGAAGGAUGACUGCCCUAUGGGUUGUAAACUUCUUUUAUAAAGGAAUAAAACGAGGCACGUGUGCCUUUUUGCAUGUACUUUAUGAAUAAGGAUCGGCUAACUCCGUGCCAGCAGCCGCGGUAAUACGGAGGAUCCGAGCGUUAUCCGGAUUUAUUGGGUUUAAAGGGAGCGUAGAUGGGUUGUUAAGUCAGUUGUGAAAGGUUGCGGCUCAACCGUAAAAUUGCAAUUGAUACUGGCAGUCUUGAGUACAGGUGAGGUAGGCGGAAUGCGUGGUGUAGCGGUGAAAUGCAUAGAUAUCACGAAGAACCCCGAUUGCGAAGGCAGCUUACUAAACUGUGACUGACAUUGAGGCUCGAAAGUGUGGGUAUCAAACAGGAUUAGAUACCCGAGUAGUC
rnacentral:rRNA from 1 species